rnacentral:rRNA from 1 species
CAGUAGCCACGGUAAUACGUAGGUGGCAAGCGUUGUCCGGAAUUAUUGGGCGUAAAGGGCUCGCAGGCGGUUUCUUAAGUCUGAUGUGAAAGCCCCCGGCUCAACCGGGGAGGGUCAUUGGAAACUGGGAAACUUGAGUGCAGAAGAGGAGAGUGGAAUUCCACGUGUAGCGGCGAAAUGCGUAGAGAUGUGGAGGAACACCAGUGGCGAAGGCGACUCUCUGGCCUGUAACUGACGCUGAGGAGCGAAAGCGUGGAGAGCGAACAGGAUUAGAGACCCCAGUAGUCCCUGUCUCUUAUAC